UUUGGUGAUUUUUGUCCUGUGUAGGACUGAGUAUGAUAGAGGUGUGAAUAAUUUCUCACAUGAAGGGAGAUUGUUUUAGGUUGGGUAUGCGAUUAAAGCUAUUAAGCUUGGGUUAACUGCAAUUGGGUUAGAGACUAAAGAAGGAGUAAUGCUUGUUGUUGAGAAGCAUAUCACUUCGCCAAUUAUGUUGGAGCCUAGUAGAGUGCAGAAAAUUAUGGAAUUCGAUAAGCAUAAAGAAAAAAUAUACAUGAGUAUGGUCACAAUCAGUGAUAUUCCAAAUGGCUAUGAGUGGACUAAUUGCUGAUUCUCAUACAUUUAUUGAACAUGCACGAGUGGAAACUCAGAACCACAAGUUCUCAUAUGGCGAUCCCAUGACUGUUGAAUCCACAACACAAGAUUUAUGUGAUCUUGCACUACGAUUUGGUGAAGGCGAAGAAGAGUCCAUGGAUAUGACCCUCCAACAAGGCGAAACAGUUGCUUUUUAAAUCUUGAAGCAAGUGAUAAGAGAAGUUGACUGCUAACAAUCCCAAAGGUCGCUCCAAAAUACCAUUUGUAUUCUCCUAGAUGCAGUUUGUUCCAGUAGAUGCAGCUACGUCUUGAAGACUUAAGAAACAAUUAGUGAACUCGUGAUGAUUCUUGUACACUUGUUGAACAUGCACGAGUCAAAACUCUGGUUUGAAGCUGGAAGAGUACCUGAGCCAAAGAUGGUGUGGAUACAACUACCAACAAAUGGAACGAAACACUUGUUUAAAGCGUGGUGUAUCCAAAAGAUUUAUCAUCUCAUCCGGCAGGUGUCUCUGAUGUUCAAGUGCACCAUUAUGAAGUGUUGGGUUAGUUUAUUUUACUGCAGGUGUAUCAAGUUUGUGGGUUUAGUUCAACACCAGGAAGUUUAUCAUUUUGCUGGUUUGCACUUUUAUUUAAGACACUUUGAACUUAUUGGGGCUAGUUGCUCUUCUCUUUAAACCUUGAACUUAUUAGGAUUUGUAUUGUGAAUUCAGAAUUUGAAUCUAUAUGAUUUUGAAUCUAAGUGUAAUUCAGUUAUAAAUUGUGUAAUGAAUACAUUAACUGAUUAAUGGAAAAGGAAUUUUAA